rnacentral:rRNA from 1 species
GACGAACGCUGGCGGCGUGCUUAACACAUGCAAGUCGAGCGAGGCCCCUCCUUCGGGAGGGUGUCCUAGCGGCGAACAGGUGAGUAACACGUGGGCAACCUGCCCUCAGCUCUGGGAUAACUCCGGGAAACCGGGGCUAAUACCGGAUACGACCUCCACGGGCAUCUGCGGAGGUGGAAAGUUUUUCGGCUGAGGAUGGGCCCGCGGCCUAUCAGCUAGUUGGUGGGGUAGUGGCCCACCAAGGCGACGACGGGUAGCCGGCCUGAGAGGGCGACCGGCCACACUGGGACUGAGACACGGCCCAGACUCCUACGGGAGGCAGCAGUGGGGAAUAUUGCGCAAUGGGCGAAAGCCUGACGCAGCGACGCCGCGUGAGGGACGAAGGCCCUCGGGUUGUAAACCUCUUUCAGCAGGGACGAAGCGAAAGUGACGGUACCUGCAGAAGAAGCACCGGCCAACUACGUG